rnacentral:rRNA from 1 species
GAUGAACGCUGGCGGCGUGCUUAACACAUGCAAGUCGAACGAAGCACUUACGACAGAACUCUUCGGAGGGAAGAUGUAUUUGACUGAGUGGCGGACGGGUGAGUAACGCGUGGGUAACCUACCUCAUACAGGGGGAUAACAGUUGGAAACGACUGCUAAUACCGCAUAAGCGCACAGCACCGCAUGAUGCCGUGUGAAAAACUCCGGUGGUAUGAGAUGGACCCGCGUCUGAUUAGCUGGUUGGUGAGGUAACGGCUCACCAAGGCAACGAUCAGUAGCCGGCUUGAGAGGGUNACCGGCACAUUGGGACUGAGACACGGUUCCAAAACUCCUACGGGAGGCAGCAGUGAGGAAUAUUGGUCAAUGACGGGAGUCUGAACCAGCCAAGUAG